CGGGGGAGGAGGAGACGAGGAGAUAGGCAUCAUGGGGGCCCGCGGCAGAACUUGAGCGGACGAAACCAAUGCGACCGUCCUCUCACCCUUUCAAUCUUCCUUCUUUCUCUCCUUUGUGGCCUCUUCCUCACCACUCUCCUGUUUUCUUGCAUACUGUCCUGGACCCUCUCCUUUGUUCUCAUUCUCAGCCAGCAAUCAUUCUUCCAGAUGAGAUGAAACCCCCGUACCCACCCUUUCUCAACCACCCAACCACCCUCUCCCUCUUCCCGCCCCCUUCCCUCUUUCAACUAUAUAAGCAUCAUCCCGAUGCCACUAUAACGACGAGAAUAAUGACGGCGACGGCGGCCACAUCCACGGCAGCGCUCCUCCUCCUCUACUCCUCCUCUUUCCACGGGGCGGCAGCAAAGAGAAGCGACUAACAUACAUCGUCCACAUGGCCAAGUCCCGGACGCCGGCCACCUUCGUCGAGCACGGCUACUGGUACGACGCCUUCCGUCGCCCGGCCGUAAACGGAGGAGGUUGAAAAGUUCCUCGGCGAAUUUUUCCCCGGCACCGAAAGCUGUAUACGUGUCGAUCACCAGUUGAGCUGGUGCAAAAAUGACGUGGUGGACCUGGUUCCACCAAUAAUUUUCCCCUUCCCCUUGAAGCCGCUCCCAUUGCAGAGCGCGGGAAAGGAAGUGCUACUUGAGGGGACGGGAGGUAAGAGGAACUGGACCAAAUAGGAAGGAAAAAGAUAGAAGAAAUGAGCGAGGCGUCGGAGAGGGCGAGGCGCGAAUUUCCGGCUUUCCCCUUCGAUCCCUACCCGAUCCAAACCGACUUCAUGGCUUUCCUCUACGACUCCCUCGAGAAGGGCGGUAUCGCCAUGCUCGAGAGCCCCACUGGAACGGGGAAAACCCUAAGCAUCAUAUGCAGUGCGAUGCAGUGGGCCGUCGAUCGGAGGAAGAAGCAGCGCGAGCAGCAGAAUGGGAAGUCCAGCGACACGAAAUCCUCCAGCAUUGAUGAAGAGGAGGAGCCGGAUUGGAUGAGGGAUUUUGCCAUCCCAGGUCCGGAGAUGGAGGAGGUAGGAAGGAGGAGAUUAGGGUCUGGAUCGGGAGCAUUGGAGAAGAAGGCCUCUUUUGUAAGGCCCAAGAAUGUGGAGAAAACUGCCGAGGAGUCGCCAGAGAAUGAUGAAGAGAUGGAGUUUCUGGUAGAUGAUUAUGAGAGUGAGGCGGAGGAUAUGGAGUAUGGCAUUGGGAGAUCGAAAAGGAAAGGUUGGAGGUGUUUGAGUUCGAGCGGCAGUGAUGAAGAGGAGGUAGGGGGAGGAAUGGAGGAGGAAGUGACCCCAAAGGUUUAUUUCACUAGCAGGACACAUUCGCAGCUGUCACAGUUUGUGAGGGAGUUCAAAAGGACGGCCUUCGCUUCGGAGCUCAAUCUCGUGUGUUUGGGCUCAAGGAAGAACCUGUGCAUCAAUUCUGAUGUUCUGAAGCUGGGGAACUUGAACCGGAUCAAUGAGCAUUGCUUGGAGUUGCAGAAGAGCAAGAAGGAUUCCAAAAUCAAGGUCCAGACUGAUAACGGGAGGGUACGGCGUGUAAAGGCUUCUUCAGGAUGCCCAAUGUUGGGGAAGCAGAAUCUACGUAAGCAGUUCAGGAAUAAAGUAUGGGAGCAUGGUGCAUUGGACAUUGAAGAUCUUGCACAGCUAGGAAGGAAAAUUGGGACCUGUCCAUAUUAUGGUGCUCGUGACAUGGUUCGGGCAGGUGACCUUGUGGUCCUUCCCUACCAAUCUUUACUACUGAGAUCUGCUCGUGAAUCACUUGGUCUGAACCUGAAGAACAGUGUUGUAGUUAUAGAUGAAGCCCACAAUGUGGCAGACUCCCUUACUAGCAUGUACAACUCAAAAAUCACUACAUCACAGUUGAAGCAGGUGUUGUCCCACCUCGAGUUGUAUCUUGGCAGGUUUCGGAAUCUUUUGGGAGCUGGGAAUCGACGAUACAUCCAGACUCUGAUAGUUUUAAUCCGGUCCUUCCUCCGGUUGUUGCUUGGCUGCCAGGAAGAUUCUUCCGGUAUUAGUAACAUAACUAACGUUCAUGCAGACCAAGCAACUGAAGAGAAAAAUUUUGGUGAUACGUCAAUGACCAUAAAUGAGUUCUUAUUUUCUCUCAAUAUUGACAACAUCAACUUAGUAAAAUUGCAUCGAUAUGUGAAGGAAAGCAACAUCAUUCACAAGGUCACUGGCUAUGGUACUAAAUUUGCAAGUUCAGAAAGUGGUUCCUUGCAUUCUGAUUGCCAGGGCCAUGGUGCAGAAGGAAGUGUAAUAUCUGGUUUUCAAGCUCUAGUUGAUAUCUUUCUCUCCCUCAUAAAUAAUGAUAGUGAUGGAAGAAUUAUAGUCUCCAGGCAGAAGCUUUCUGGGCAAACAGAAGAAGGAUGCCUUAAAUUUGUAAUGCUUUGUGGAGAGAAAAUUUUUUCUGAGAUUGCAGGUCAAGCACAUGCUGUUGUCCUAGCAGGGGGGACUCUUCAGCCUAUUGAAGAGACAAGGAUGCGCCUCUUCCCUGGCUUAGCAUUGGAUCAAGUGCAUUUUUUCACAUGCAACCAUAUUGUUCCUCCAGAGAAUAUAUUGCCCAUUGCAGUUUCUCGUGGACCCUCUGGCAUGACUUUUGAUUUCAGUUACAAUUCAAGAAACACUCCAAGCAUGAUAGAUGAGCUCGGACGUUUACUUUGCAAUCUAGUGGCAGUUAUCCCAGAAGGAGUUGUCGUGUUUUUCUCUUCGUUUGACUAUGAAGGACAGGUCUAUGAUACAUGGAGGGCUACUGGGCUUCUUUCCAAAAUUCUGAAGAAGAAACGUGUAUACAGGGAACCUAGAAACAGCAUUGAUGUCGAUCUUGUACUCAAGGAAUACAAGGAAGCCAUUGAGUCUCCUAGUGGAGUUUUAAAUGAUUCAAGAACUAACGGUGCACUUCUUCUAGCUGUUGUCGGUGGAAAGAUUUCUGAAGGUAUAAACUUCAGUGAUGGGAUGGGACGUUGCGUUAUAAUGGUUGGACUUCCUUAUCCAAGUCCUGCUGAUAUUGAAUUGAUGGAAAGAGUAAAAUAUAUAGAAGGUUUAGGAGAAUUGUCUUCACCAACACCAAAUAAAUCCUUUGGUAAUAAAUUAUAUAGCAACAGUAAAGUUCAGUCUGGCUUUGACAUCUUGAGGAAAUGCAAGCAAAGAGGAAGAGAAUACUAUGAUAACUUAUGCAUGAAAGCUGUAAAUCAGUCAAUUGGCAGAGCAAUUAGGCACAUAAAUGACUAUGCUGCAAUCUUGUUGGUCGACUCACGGUAUGCAUGUGAUUCAUCAAUUCGGAGCUUCUCAGAUCCAACUAACAAGCUACCCUUGUGGAUAAAAGAUCGACUUGUUUCUGCUACUCAAAGCUAUGGGGAAGUCCACAGACUGCUGCAUCAGUUCUUCCAAUUCAAUAAGAAGAAGUAUAACCAAAAGUAUUAGCUCAUGAGAUAACUACAAUGCUGCAUCCGAUCUUCCAGUUUAAUAAGCAGAAGUGGUGUAACCAGUGGUAUGAGCAUGUAAAAUCCAUAACAGCAUCAGUUCUUCCAAUUCAAUAAGUUGAGGUGGUAUGACUGAAAGCAUGAGUAUGCAGAUGAUAAGGAUUGGAUGUUGCCUAUUUUCUCACUUACCUAGGAGUGGUCCACACAAACAUCACUAGAUGAGCCUACCAAUUGGUUUAAAGAAGGCAAAUAUUCAGAAUUAUUAUAAAAAAAAAAAUCUUGUUUGUACAAUUGCUGUUCAAAGCAAAGUGCAAUGGCAGAAGCACAGAUUUACAGAUGCAUUGCUCUUUGUGAAUUUGCGGCAAAUUGAAUGGGAGGAUUUGGUUCCAGUUAUCCUCUGCAGGUCCUGUCUUUGUGCAGCUCUCCUUCAGUGGCAGUGCUGCAUACACCAUAACCAACGUGCCUUAGGUCAACUGAAUACUCUAUGAAUAUUCGUCAAAGCCUGCACGUGCUGUGACAGCUAGUUUUCAUUUCUAUGACGGUUGUGUUACAUAUCUGUUGCAUACUUAACACAUUCUUUUUUUUAUGCAAAUGUAAGAUUUGUGAUAAUUGCUUUAGCAUAAAUGAGGUGGAGACUCAUUGUUAACUAGACUAUUAGCAAAAUAUCUAUAGAUUUUUGAGAAAUGAUGGAUGCAAGAGAAAGAAAGUUCAUGUUCCAUUGUUA